rnacentral:tRNA from 1 species
AGUCUCGAGGUGUCAACAUAUAUGAUUGCAAAUCAUAAGUAGCGGGCUAACGCCUGCCGGGGCUU